GCAUCCCAGAUUGUCCUGGAGGGGAAGCCAGCCUGCACCCCAGAUUGUCCUGGAGGGGAAGCCAGCCUGCACCCCAGAUUGUCCUGGAGGGGAAGCCAGCCUGCACCCCAGAUUGCCUGGAGAAGAGGCCAGCUUGGAGGAUGCCUCGAGACCCCCCCCCCCCCCCCGUCCCACACACCAGCCUGAACUUUCUCUCCAGUAGUCCCCCUUUACUCCAGUGUCGUCCCCUGGCCUUAGUCAGGACCUCUGUUCUGGAUGCCAGACCGACCACUGCACCUGCCGGGGACUUAAAAAGUCUUCAACAGCUCCCAUCCUCUCUGGAAAGGACCACACUCCUUGAUAUGGAGGUAAUGGACAGGUGCAAUGUGGGCCCUACAGAUCUUCACAGCCUCAGAGUACCAUGACAGAAGAAUGGACGGCCACUGCACUCAUUCGACAGAUCCAUCCAUCAUCCGCCCACAGGAUCGGUGAGCAUAAGAAACACAGUCCCUGCCCUCAAGAAACUUAAGCUGUAGAGGAGAGAGGCCUAAAGGAGAGAAGUGAACAAUUCAACAAAGAAGGGCCACCCCGUUGCUGAUAGAGGAAACUAAAGCAGAGAGAGAAUGGCGGGAUCCUGGGAACGCUGGAUGUCUAGGGAAGGCCUCUCUGCGGUGACACCGAGUGAGGCGGAUGGACAUGGAGAACCCAGGAGAAGAUGGAGGUUGAAGCUUCUGGACCCCUGAACUGCAUCCUCAGACUCUACCAUCUCCACUCCGUCACCUACCUGCCUGCCUUUCCACACUCGGACUCAUGCCCGCCCAGGAAGCUUUGGAAGUAGAGGCGGAGCAAUGACUGCUUACACAGGCAACAUGAAUGACAUCAUACUUGGGGGUUCCCUCACCUUGGCCCGCACUGCCCAGGCCUACAACAUGUCACCCCAAUGCCCUAAUGCUUAAGACAAACACUUCUUAAUCACUAAAAAAUGAAAUGAUUUCACAUGAAAA